rnacentral:rRNA from 1 species
ACGGAAGGCAGCAGUGGGGAAUAUUGGGCAAUGGGCGAAAGCCUGACCCAGCGACGCCGCGUGAGGGAAGAAGAUCUUCGGAUUGUAAACCUUAGUCAACAGGGAAGAAGCAAGUGACGGUACCUGUGGAGGAAGCCACGGCUAACUACGUGCCAGCAGCCGCGGUAAUACGUAGGUGGCGAGCGUUAUCCGGAUUUACUGGGUGUAAAGGGUGUGUAGGCGGAUAUUCAAGUCAGAUGUGAAAACUAUGGGCUUAACCCAUAGCCUGCAUUUGAAACUGUAUAUCUUGAGCGUGGGAGAGGUAAACGGAAUUCCCGGUGUAGCAGUGAAAUGCGUAGAUAUCGGGAGGAACACCAGUGGCGAAGGCGGUUUACUGGACUGAGACUGACGCUGAGGCUCGAAAGCGUGGGGAGCAAACAGGAUUAGAUACCCUGGUA